rnacentral:rRNA from 1 species
UACGGAGGAUGCGAGCGUUAUCCGGAUUUAUUGGGUUUAAAGGGUGCGCAGGCGGCCUGUUAAGUCAGCGGUAAAAGCCCGGGGCUCAACCCCGGCGAGCCGUUGAAACUGAUGUUCUUGAGUGGGCGAGAAGUAUGCGGAAUGCGCGGUGUAGCGGUGAAAUGCUUAGAUAUCGCGCAGAACCCCGAUUGCGAAGGCAGCGUACCGGCUCCACACUGACGCUGAGGCACGAAAGCGUGGGUAUCGAACGGG